UUUGGUGCGGCCAACCGACAUGGGGCUGUCUCUUCACUCUCCCUCCCGUCAUUUAAUUUGUCGGGGCUGGGAUGCUUGUGAUCGGGGGCCUGUGUAGUUCUACCCUGUUGUGCGUAGCGAAGUUGUCCCUCGAUUGAUAUUUGCUUGCCUUUCUGACAUUUUUUUGUCGUUCGGGCAGCCGAAAUGAUGGCAAAAUCCUUGUGUAGGUGCGUGGUCGAAUGGCCUUGUUGCUAUCACCUGGAUUUUUGCCGCCUCUCACGGAUGCAGUGCCUAGUGCUAGCUCUGCGUGACUUUGCCCCGCAGACUUCGGGAGGUCCCUUGUACAAAUCAUUGCGAUCAGAUGCCGUUUGUCGUGUUGCUUGUUUGGCACGCAAAUCGUAUUGUUCUGCCUGGAGUCGGGAUGAUGAAAGUCAGAAUGAAGUGUCUGGGGCGUGCUUGCGUACAU
rnacentral:misc_RNA from 1 species